UACAGAGGGUGCAAGCGUUGUUCGGAAUUAUUGGGCGUAAAGCGCGUGUAGGCGGUUCAGUAAGUCCGCUCUUGGAAAGCCCAGAGCUCAACCCUGGGAGGCGGGUGGAUACUACUGGACUAGAGUACGGAAGAGGAGAUUGGAAUUCCUAGUGUAGAGGUGAAAUUCGUAGAUAUUAGGAAGAACACCAGUGGCGAAGGCGGCUCACUGGUCCGGUACUGACGCUGAGGUGCGAAAGCGUGGGGAGCAAACAGG
rnacentral:rRNA from 1 species